AUUUGGGCAGAGGUGUGGGUCUGCCGAGAGCACGUACCCUCCGUGUAACCCUUCCACUGGAUGUUCGUCUGAAUCCUUCAUCAUAACCUGUAAUAAACUGCUAAAGGAGAAGAUGAGUGCAAGUCUUUCUGUUCCUCCAUCUUGAUGGGAAGUGAGGGAACUGCUACACAAUGUCCUAAAAGGACCUGUGAUGAGAAAAAUGUCAAGCGCAGCUUUAAGACCUUGUGUCGAAAGAAGCUAAUGAGAAAGCAGAUUGGAAGGUAUGGCAUCUGCCUGCAACACAGGAGACCUGGGUAUACUCCCUG